AGUGAACGCUGGCGGUAGGCCUAACACAUGCAAGUCGAACGGCAGCACAGUAAGAGCUUGCUCUUACGGGUGGCGAGUGGCGGACGGGUGAGGAAUACAUCGGAAUCUACUUUUUCGGGGGGGAUAACGUAGGGAAACUUACGCUAAUACCGCAUACGACCUACGGGUGAAAGCAGGGGAUCUUCGGACCUUGCGCGAUUGAAUGAGCCGAUGUCGGAUUAGCUAGUUGGCGGGGUAAAGGCCCACCAAGGCGACGAUCCGUAGCUGGUCUGAGAGGAUGAUAAGCCACACUGGAACUGAGACACGGUCCAGACUCCUACGGGAGGCAGCAGUGGGGAAUAUUGGACAAUGGGCGCAAGCCUGAUCCAGCCAUACCGCGUGGGUGAAGAAGGCCUUCGGGUUGUAAAGACCUUUUGUUGGGAAAGAAAAGCAGCAGGUUAAUACCCCGCUGUUCUGACGGUACCCAAAGAAUAAGCACCGGCUAACUUCGUG
rnacentral:rRNA from 1 species